rnacentral:rRNA from 1 species
GGGCCCGCACAAGCGGUGGAACAUGUGGUUCAAUUCGACGCAACGCGAAGAACCUUACCUGGGCUCGAAGCGUGCCUGACCAGCGUGAGAAAUCACGCCUUCCCGCAAGGGACAGGUACGGAGGUGCUGCAUGGCUGUCGUCAGCUCGUGCCGUGAGGUGUUGGGUUAAGUCCCGCAACGAGCGCAACCCUUAUCCUUAGUUGCCACCCGCAAGGGGGAACUCUAAGGGGACUGCUCCGGACAACGGAGAGGAAGGUGGGGAUGACGUCAAGUCAGCAUGGCCUUUAUGUCCAGGGCUACACACGUGUUACAAUGCGCGCCACAAAGCGUUGCAAACCCGCGAGGGGGAGCUAAUCGCAAAAAAGCGCGCUCAGUUCGGAUUGCAGUCUGCAACUUGACUGCAUGAAGCCGGAAUCGCUAGUAAUGGCGCAUCAGCACGGCGCCGUGAAUACGUUCCCGGGCCUU